GAUGAAGAACGUAGCGAAAUGCGAUACGUAGUGUGAAUUGCAGAAUUCCGUGAAUCAUCAAAUCUUUGAACGCAUAUUGCGCCCGCGACUUCGGUCAAGGGCAUGUCCGCCUCAGCGUCGGUUUAUAUCCUCGCUUCAACCACUUAGGUGGUACGGUUGGUGCCUAAUAAUCACCAGCCUUGAAGCGGAUCUGGCUUUCCCAGGCGAGUAAUCACUGGGUUUGCUGAAGUGCAGAGGCUAGAGCUGGACCCAUUAUGGGCUUCAACUGGAUAGGUAGAACCAGCUUCGGCUGACCUACACGAAGUUGUGGCUUGCGGUUCUUGCUGGCGGCCUAACGGAAGCUUGCGAAAGCAUGCUCCAUCUAAACAUUCGACCUGAGCUCGGGCAAGAUUACCCGCUGAACUUAAGCAUAUCAAUAAGCGGAGGAA
rnacentral:misc_RNA from 1 species